GAUUAUUUUGUAAAGUCAUUUGUUCAUGGUUUUCUAUUAAAAUACAUUUGUUCAAAAAUUAAUUGUCUUUGGCAUCAAUAAUUCACAAAUACCACAAAUUGAAGAGAGCUAAAAAUUUGCUGUUAAUUUUGCAUUUGUGAACGUUUUGAAGCGAAAUUCAAACAAUAUGUUUAAUGUCGUUAUAUUAACUUUAAAAUGGAAAAACGGAAAUUCAUAUUCUUCUAUAUGAAGUCAAAGCCAGCAUUAAAACACUCAAAUAAGGUAGCCAAGUUACAGUUUGCAAAAGAACAUACAUAUGUCAUGGAUGGACCCGUGGAAAGAUGUAACAUCCUCAGAUUCGAAGGAAUAUACAAUUUUAAUUACAACUAGCAUUAUCAAGACAGAAAACUUUUGUAAUGUAAUGCUAGCAUACAUAUGCGGUCACUUAAAUUGAAUUUUCCUGUCGACGGCCAUAUAUGCUGCUUUUUGAAGGUUAAAAGGAAAACAUGGGACCUAAAAGGUUUAAAAAUGCUGGUUCAUAUAUUGAAGUGGACAAACUGAACCUUCUCGAGUGGUUCCUAGUAUUAUUCUACAGAUUUCAAAGCGGAUGAAUCUUAGAGAAAAAGGUUGAUAAAGUGUUCUCUCUCUGAACUGAAAUCUGAAGGUUGAGUCAUCUUGGCAUAUUGUGAACCUUGGACAACUAUACAACUUUUGAAAAAAGCGCGUAGGAGUGUGGCAACGAAUGACUUGCCUGUAAAAGAAGGCCAAAAGAUAUUGACACAAAGCUUCUGUAAAAUAGUGGAUGGCUCUUAUAAAUCUAAAGUUUUAGACAUAUUCUCACAGAGAACCCUUGCGCAGUAAGAAUAUGCUUCAGCGAACUGUCCUUUUCCUGGGAAAAUACACCUUGGAUGUCUUGUGGCAGAUUGUACAACCUCGUGGAGCCUUCUAUUUAAACAUUCUACCAGCGCAGCAGGGGUAUCAUUCCGCAGCGUCUAUCUUCAAGAGUACAGUACGCCAAAAGUAACUUCAGCUUUAGUUAGACGCUUCAUGAAUUUGAAUCGGAAAUUUUGAACCCACUAUAUGAAGUUAAUUACACAAGAUAGAACCCGUCGAACACAAUUUCUACCUUUUGUUUUGAGAAAUCUACUUUGAGAUUCUCAACUAGGCCGCCACCAUUAUCUCGCCUGCGAUUUUUACAUAAGACGUUGAAACCUACGCGAUUCAGAAGAUCUGCGUGGAUGUAUAACUUGGUUUGGACCACAGAUCAUAGCCGAUAAAUUGUAAAAGUUUGAUUUCACGUGAAAAAGGGGUUACCACACCCUUCGUUGGGCAUGAUGAACACGUGGAGGAUGUCGCUACUGCAAUAUAUCCGCGGAGGAUAUAGAAGAACUAGAACGGCUAUGCAAUUAAGCCGUAGAGGCUUAUGUCGCUGUUAUACGUUGGCAGCAUGAGGCCACCUACCUAGGCGGUCGACUUCCUGUGUGUCUUAACACAAUGACAACGAAGCCAAUAUUUGUUAAAUCCCUAUUAUCUUCAUAGUUUUUACCAUAAAACCUGCAGAAAUCGUCGAAAGUUCCUUUGGGCGCGGAUUGGAAUUAAUGCCAGCUUGGAGGAUAUAGAGCCCGGCUACUUGGAGUUGCUCUAAUGAUAACAGGUUUCGUUUAUUGCUUACCGAUCAAAACAGGAUUCGAUCAUCGAAAUAACAGUUUUUGGCCGGAUAAAAUUCGUCAAUUUCGGUAACAUAGAACUGGCUGUUGUGAGAAUUGAUUUUAUUGUAAUAUAUGGUAUGUCUCUGGUAGAACUUUUAUUAAUUAUAAUAAUUGAUAGUCAUACGAAGUACCGGGAAUCA